AUGCUGAGAGAAGUGGUAAAGCUCUCUGUCCAGCACCUGCCUUGUGCCCUCUGUGUCUCAGCGGGUGCCCAGUUCAGCAGCAGCAGUCGUGGUCCUUGGCUCAUCUGGCAGAAGAAAUUCAGUGUCAUCACCCAAAAAGCAGCUGACUGGUGGAAAUCUGUAUGUCUUUGUUCCUGGUCAGAAUGUCAGAAUCUAGGAUACUGCAGGCAAGGAUUACUUCCAGUGCACCAGAUAGAGGAAAUCACAGCUUUGUUUCAGAGAGGUUCACAGUGAGAGCUGUUGCUUCCUUGAACUCAGCCUUAUCUAAAGAAAAGGUAAUGUAUUCCCUGACUCAUUUUCUUUCAAAUAAAUUUAACCUUUUCUAGCA
rnacentral:lncRNA from 1 species